UACGGAGGGGGCUAGCGUUGUUCGGAAUUACUGGGCGUAAAGCGCACGUAGGCGACCUUUUAAGUCAGGGGUGAAAUCCCGGGGCUCAACCCCGGAACUGCCCUUGAAACUGGGAGGCUAGAAUCUUGGAGAGGCGAGUGGAAUUCCGAGUGUAGAGGUGAAAUUCGUAGAUAUUAGGAAGAACACCAGUGGCGAAGGCGGCUCACUGGCCCGGUACUGACGCUCAGGUGCGAAAGCGUGGGGAGCAAACAGG
rnacentral:rRNA from 1 species